UACGUAGGGACCAAGCGUUGUUCGGAUUUACUGGGCGUAAAGGGCGCGUAGGCGGCAAUUCAAGUCAGCUGUGAAAUCUCUGGGCUUAACCCAGAACGGCCAGCUGAUACUGCUUUGCUAGAGUGCAGAAGGGGCAAUCGGAAUCCCUGGUGUAGCGGUGGAAUGCGCAGAUAUCAGGAGGAACACCGGUGGCGAAGGCGGUUCUCUGGGCAUUACCUGACGCUGAGGAGCGAAAGUGUGGGGAGCGAACAGG
rnacentral:rRNA from 1 species